AGGUGUCAAUGAUGGCCUUCUGGACAGCAGUCAGGUCGGCAGUCUUACCCAUGAUUGCGGUUUUGAGUAAUGAACCAGGCUGGGAGUUUUUAAAAGCCUCAGGAAUCUUUUGCAGGUGUUUAGAGUUAAUUAGUUGAUUCAGAUGAUUAGGUUAAUAGCUCGUUUAGAGAACCUUUUCAUGAUAUGCUAAUUUUUUGAGAAGGACCUGUAGGUGUAAGCGGCUCAAGAUCAUUCAUAUAAUCAGAGAAUUUCAUGAUGGGAUGCCCGUUAACCCAGUUCAAUUCACUUUUGAGGACAAUGAGGUCACGUUUUCCAUCACAACCAGGAGACAAACAGCUCCUGUUCUGUAUGACCCAGAAAAUGGUAAAACCACAAAAACACAGGAUGCUUUCAUGGCACCAAAUAUGCUUCUUACUUAAAUGUCUGUAAAGUUUCUAAAACUUGCUAGUGAAAUGCACCACAUUCUCUCCAUUACAGUUCAGAUGUCAACUCACAGGUGACCACAGUAACCAAGACAUUUCUGAGGUAUAAGAUGCUGAAUGUCCUCAUCAAAAGUAUCCGGAUGUUUUACCCAUAGAUAAAGAUAAUUAUUUUGGAUGACAGCCUGAAGCCUGAACCUAUUACUGGAAAAAACAUUGAGAACUACAUUAUGCCCCCUACACAGGUAAACACUUUUUAUGUUCUGGAUUUGCGUUUACCAAAAGGCUCUUCUAUAUUAACAGUGGUGUAUUGGUAUUUUCUGCCCUGUAUGCUGAUAUGUGAAUGUGACUAUUGAUUACUUUUUCAGAUUUGCUUUCUUCAGGGCUGGUUUGCAGGGAGGGUCACAAGCAUAUUACCUGUGGGUGGAUGAUGACUAUGUAUUUUUGAAAGGAAGCCGGACUGGGAGCUUUGUAGAGAUUAUGGAAGCAGUUCCAGAAUGGCACAUUGUAAGUUUUAUUAUUAUUAUUAUUAUUUAUUUAUUUAUUAUUAUUAUUAUUAUUAUUAUUUAUUUAUUUAUUUGUUUAUUUUUUUUUGUUAAAAAUGCAGUACAUUUAUGAAACUUACUGCUUGGGGCAAAGAGAAUUCUUUCUCCUUUUGGCUCUGUUUAGCUUGGUGGUGCAGUAUCAGGUGAUCAGUAUUACUUCAAAUUUGAGUAUGAAGAGGGAGAUGAAGAAGAAGGCGGCUGCCUAACACAUGUUAAAAAAGGGUUUCAUCAGCCACUUCUAAACUUUGAUGAGUGGGUCAUUAUGGCAAGUAUUUACUAAAUUUUGUCCAUUGCUAUUGCUCUGAUUUUUUUAAACUCUGUUUCCUCCUCCUAAAGUUCAAGUCACUUUUAUUUAUAUAGCGCUUUUAUACAAUACAGAUAGUUCCAAAGCAGCUUCAAUUUAAUGAACAGAAAAAUUACAGUGUUCAUGUUCCACAAUUAUAACAUACCAGCUGGAACCCCAGACUAAGAAAUUUCUCUCUGUAAAUUAUUUAUUUGACCAACAAUGGAUAUCAUACAUCAGUGGUUUGCCCUGACACUCACUUCAAGAUGUUUAGGCAAAAGGAAACACACAUAGUACUAAACAGCAAUCAUCCUUAAUCGAAGAAAUGUGGCAAAACAUCUCUGGAGAGAACCUCACAUUAUUAAAUGUUGAGUUGUGCUACACCCAUAGUUUCAAUUAGCGUUGCAUUCGGAGGAAAAAGCGGACGAUAGAGAUGUAUCAUCUUUAGCCGUUCUUGGCAUAUUUAUUUUUCUAGCUGUCGACACAUCAGUCUCAAGGUCAGACAGCCUUCAGUAAGAGAGAAAAGUAAAUCAACUGGAACAAACAUAAUAACGCAAACGUGUCUUCUGUAGCUUACACUUUAGUGCCCCAUUGUGGCAUACACAUAUACAUAACACAGAACAGUACAGCAUUACAUUAACAUACAACUGAGGACAUAAUGAACAUAUUUUAACAUUAAAUUCUCUUCUGGGCGCGUCUUAUAGACUAUCUUACAAUCGCAACUUCAUUGUGUUGUUACUCCUUUCAAGCCGAAUUUCACAGAAUCGGUCAGCUCCUGACAGCAUCAGGUGUUUUAUUAAUAGGGAGUAGAAUUAUUUAUUUAUUUCAAUGAAUGUAAUUGAUUAGAGUUCAUAAUAUUUAGACUAUAUUAUUAUAAACCCGGUUGUUUUGUAUUGGUGAUGUAAUAUGUUAAUGAUACGCGGCCCGUGAGACUUGCACUUGGACCAUAGUGCGGCCCAGUGGAGAUGGUCCUCACUGCAGAACACAAGUUCCAGGGGGCGUGGUUGGAUCCAGAUCCAACUCCUCCCACCUUACAUAUACCUAAACCUACCCGUCUCCACCCCCUGAUCCCUAAACCCACCCACCGUCACCCCUAAACCUACCCAUCUCCACCCCCUAGAAGGGGAUCCAACCACGCCCCCUGGAUCUUGUGUUCUGCAGUGAGGGGCUACUGGCCCAGUGGGGAAAAAAAGGUUGAGAAGCUCUGGUCUACAUGUUAGUUUUUCUGAGCUGAUUGCUGGCUGUAAGCUGUCUGCUGAGGUCUGCAGCGUCUCUGUGUCUUUAUUGUUAAAUAAAUAAUAGAUGAUAUUCUGUUAGUGUGUCUGUAUAAGAUGCCAGUGGCAUCUGCUAAACAUGUUUGGACACUAUUACACUGGUAAUAUUUUGUAGACAAUUUAUAAUCCUUUAUAGCAUUAAAUGAAUUAAUAUGUUUUAUUUAUUAAUAUAUAUUUUUAAUAUUCUGUUUGACUGGUCUUAAA
rnacentral:lncRNA from 1 species